rnacentral:rRNA from 1 species
AACGAACGCUGGCGGCGUGCUUAACACAUGCAAGUCGAACGGAAAGGCCCUGCUUUUGUGGGGUGCUCGAGUGGCGAACGGGUGAGUAACACGUGAGUAACCUGCCCUUGACUUUGGGAUAACUUCAGGAAACUGGGGCUAAUACCGGAUAGGAGCUCCUGCUGCAUGGUGGGGGUUGGAAAGUUUCGGCGGUUGGGGAUGGACUCGCGGCUUAUCAGCUUGUUGGUGGGGUAGUGGCUUACCAAGGCUUUGACGGGUAGCCGGCCUGAGAGGGUGACCGGCCACAUUGGGACUGAGAUACGGCCCAGACUCCUACGGGAGGCAGCAGUGGGGAAUAUUGCACAAUGGGCGGAAGCCUGAUGCAGCAACGCCGCGUGCGGGAUGACGGCCUUCGGGUGGUAAACCGCUUUCGCCUGUGACGAAGCGUGAGUGACGGUAAUGGGUAAAGAAGCACCGGCUAACUACGU